GUCAGGGGCAGGCCAGCCAAUCAGCAUUUUUAAAAAGCCUCCUGAGUGAUUUCAGCAUUAAAAACCACUAGCAUGUGGGUAAUCUGACCUCUAGGCUUGAGCAAUCGAGGGGUCAGAAGGCCAGCUUGCUUGAAAGUAGGGAUAGUUCAAAAGCAUGUUUAAGCAAGUUUAAGAUAAAUUUAAACGUGAAAUGGAGAAGGGAAAGAAUUAUAAACCACAGCCUCAGGGAUUAUUUGGGUGUAGUGAGCAUUUUAGAUUGAAGGAAAGGGGAAUUUUUUUAAAUUGAUGGAAGUGUCAAAGAGUACAACUGAGAUAAAUUGAAAUUGAAAAUUCUUUCUGGGGCUGUUGUACACUAGGACCCUGUCAUACAUUUAUACUGAGCUUAAAAUAAUCCUAGAGACAUCUCUAUUCUUUUAAAAAAUGUUUAAUUUUGCAGUUCUCCACAUUGCUUUGUGGUAUGCAACUGUAAAAUUGGUUAGGGUCAUGCAAAAUGUGAAAUCUGAUUGGAUAGUAAUUAUCUUCAUUUACACAACACCCAACUGAAGGAAAUAACGAUCAUUUUUAGACUUUACAAAAUACAAGCUAAAAGUGAAAUUCUGCUAAAGUUAAUUUUAUAAAGAUUCUGAUUUUAUUUCUUUUUUUUUUGUUUAUAACUUGGAUGAGUUGGAACAAAAAAAUAGAAAAGUUUUGAAAGAAAUGGUGAAGGGACUCUAGCAAAGAAGGUGGCAGCAAAUGAAUGAGAAAAAUGACAGACGGCCGGGGAUUUAGCUCAGUGGUUCUGCCGCCCGCCUCAAAAGCACAUGGUCCCGAGCUGGAUCCCCGGUACUAAAAAAAGCAAUGCAAACCCAUACUGUCAAUAUACUUAUUGUACUUACUGGAUGAACAAAUGACCUCCAAAGAUAGGUCUAGUUUUGCAUGUUAGGAUGCUAUAAUGACUGAGGCAUUAGUAACGAAAUCAAACUUUUCUCGAAAAACACUCCCCAGACGUGUUUCCAAGUACUGCACCCAGCACCUCCCUGUAGGUAUUCUGAAAGUCCCUGAGCUCUCUGUCUUGCUUUCGGGCAGCCACCCACACUCCCACAUACUGAAGGAGAGGUAUCUAUCUGAGGGUCUAUGAAGAAAGGACUUUCAUUUGUUCAUAAGUUUUGGGCAGGUUCACCUCGGAGAAUCAAUCCCUAGAAUGAAGGGGAAAGCAACCAAAAAGAGCUCCAUUCUUUCAUCCUUUGGAAAAUGGAGUGGAAAGAGUAACUGCCUCUUACUGGUCCUUAAUGGGUUACUGCUCCAAAAUCAAAUGAGCAAGUUGGGAGAGACGAGUUUUCGCAGUGUCUUGUGGCUCUGCGCUCACCCACAGUACCCUCGAACAAAGCGCCCCGUUUGGCUUCUGUUUGCUGCGUCAGCGAGUACGCAGAGCCGCCUCCCCUACGCUGCCAGGUACUAAGCUCCAGGACCAACACCCACCAAUUCUCUGCUCUCGGGUUUGUGCCGAGAGAAGCCGACGGACAGACAGGUAAACUGCGUGACUCAUCAAGUGGGUAUAAACGCCAUCACGGGGAAUAAAAGGAUUACUGGAGAUACUAGCACGGGGCUCUGGGGCCAAAGUUACAUCAGCGUUAUGAGGAAAACUACUGCCCGCCCCUUUCCCGUUCAGGUCGCGGCGCGAACACGGAGCGCCCCUGCCCGACCGCUUCCUCCCACCUCCCCGACCAGCGCUCUACUGGCCGUGCACAAACCGCGCCAUCAGGCGGUCCCAGCCGCCCUGCCCUGCCUCCCUCCCCUCAGCGCCCUCCGGCACUCAUUUCUCACAGGAGGAAAAAGACGACGUCGUGAGAACUCGGACAACCUGGUCUCGUGCAAAAUUUUACAUCAGAAACAUAAACGCGAAGGAAGAAGAUACUAAAGGGGAAGUCGCCUACUGCCGCCUCUAAGGCUCAAUCCGAGCGAGAGCCAACCGACCAGGACACAAAACGGAAACCCGAGGGUCGCCCCGCUCCGCGACCCCGCCCCAUCUUUGUUCCCCUCGCGCUGGCCACGAGGCUCCAGACGCCCUCGCGACGCGGACACGCGCAGCAGCCAGCGCCCCGCCGCCCUCUCCUCGCGCGUGCCCGUCCGCGCCCGCCGUCCCCCCUCGAGCAGCCCGGGGUGGGCGCGGCCUCGGCGCCCGGGCGGGAAGUAGCGCCGUCCGCGCGGAAGGACACGCACGGCGUGGUGCGGCCUGCGCCUUUAUAUUACUCGGCGGCGGCUGUCUCGGGUUGGUCCGCGAGCUCUAAGUCCUGGAGCCCUGCUCUCCCCUCCUGCGGGUCGGCCCUGGUAGCUCCUGGCAGGUGUCAGUAGGCCAGGCCCGGAUUCCCCCAAACUUAAACGCUGGGCGCCCGAGUUUCGAUUUCUUCUGCUGCGAAACAAUGGUCGUUGGGAUUCGAAGUGAGAGAAUGCAGGGCAAAUCGCCUAACAGUAUUUAGCAUGCAGCAUCAGGGGACAACACUGCAUCCAAUCAACUCAUUUAAAUGGAUAGCUUGAACAGAAGCAGGAUUUCUCUCCACAGUUCUCGCAGUGGAAUCCUUGGGGAAAGAGGAAAAGAUUAAGUCAUCAUUUGAGUUUCUUCAGGCUCAACCAAAGGCUAACAAUUCACAGAAAUAUCUUGGAAUCAAAGAGAAGACUCUGGUGCUCUCACUGGCUGUUGUUUGGCACCUUGGAUAGCCAGGGCAGAGACACAAAACGAGAGCAAAGACUGUAGGAAACUUCCCUAAGAGAAGAGGGGAAAGAGAGCAUUUGGUUGCUUUGAAAUGGAUAUGUGGAAACCAGCCUCACUCGGGCAGCCUUUGCAGCCUUCUGCUGAGCUCCAGGCCCCUGCCUGGCAGCCUCUCACAGGUGACGGGCAGAAAGGGGAUUGUCUUUAGAAUCUGCACUGAAGCCACCGCCGCCUCUCCACCACUGAGAUCCAACUGGUUCCCUCUAAAAUGGCUUUUUAAAAUUUGCAAAUACAGAAACAGGCUGGGGAGAACCUAAGCAAAAGUGUACAUUUACUGGAUGAGUACUUGACCAGCUCAUGGAUUCCAAGAAGUUGACCAAGCCUCUCCCCCGAAGAGCAGGCACUGGGCAGUUCCUGGAAGCUGAGCGGCUGAACUCCACUGACCCCUCCAAAGGGCUGCCUUUAAUGACUCGAGUACCAACUCCCGAGGCUCAUCUACGGCCGCCUCACUGUGGAAAUCUAAAAAUUCUUCAGAGAUUCCCAAUGGCCUGCAUGGGCACUACAGUGUGGGCCUUUCCUUUUAAACUGAUCCUCUUUAAAAAUGGUUUCAGGCACUGCUAACCUCAGCUGAGUAGAUGGGGCUGUCGGAACCAGAUUCCGAUGCCCAGUGUAAAGAGUCAAAGUAGCAGCAGUCCCAACAGGGUAAAGUUUAAAAGAACCUAUUCUCUUGGGCAAGAUGCACUUUAAAAGUGUCUCUGCCUAGGGCUGGGGUGUGGCUCUGGUGGACUCACCCAGCUUGUCCAGGGUAGGGGUGGGAGGUUGUCUUCUGGUUUCUGGUGGCCUCAUUCAUUUAGUAAUUACUUCUAAAUAACCUGCUGUGAAUAAACCUAGACCUGUGUCUCGUGUGUGAGCAGUCUUAAGGGAUUCUGAGAGUAACUUUUCAUAUGAACACUGGAUUUUAAGCCCCUUCCCCUUGGAUGAGAAACCUACAGAUUUUGCCUGAGCAACGAGAGCACAUCCUUGUUAAGGUUAAGAUUUCACUGUCUCUGUUCAGAGCCUUCAUUAGGCUACAUCAGAGGACAACUGAGAUGGCUCUGCAAUUAACUGCAGCCAAGCGUCACUUGUUUUUAUAAUGUGACUUGGGUAUAACUGAAAAAUAACUCAUGCCUCUUUUCCUUUCCCUUCUGAACUGGAUAGAUAACUGCACAUAAGUUAACUUUUUAUUUUUGGUACUGGGGAUCAAACUCGGGACCUUGCACUUUCAAGGCAGGCACCAGAACCACUGAGCUAAAUUCCCGGCCCCCACAUAAGUUAAUUUUUUAAAAAAUUCUAGCUAUUUCCUCAAACCUGAGGUAAGAGCAGUUUAGAAGACAUUUAGCAGCCAAGCUCCCCAAGGGAGGCCAGGAACUUCUAACUGACAAGGGCUGCUAAGGCCGCAGAGUCUACCCAGAAUGCAUAUGCAAAGUAUCUGGAAAUUUGGUUUGGGCUUAGAUCUGAGCAAAUCUGAUGUUCUGGUAUGUUUGGAUUCUAAUUUGAAGUAGUUGCCUUAGGUGUUCUUAAAUUUUUUAAUUCAAAUUAAAGCAUUCAUUAAGAUUUAGCAAAUUAAGACUUGGUGUGAGUUGAGAUUUAAUUUGCUUCAUAAGGAUAUAAAGAUGUGAUUCAAAAAUCACAGCAGCCAGGAGGCUGGGUGAGUUGUCCCUUUACCUUGAAGAGGAGAUAUGGAUUGAGGACUAGAGUAUUUUAUUAUAGUUCACCCCUUGUGCUGCUAAAAUGUACUUGCUGCUUAUGAUAAGUUCACACAGUGCCCCACAAUUCCAGAAUUCUUGGGUGUUUGGUUUUUUUUU
ensembl:lncRNA